rnacentral:lncRNA from 1 species
UAAGGAAUAUUCUGGGUUGCCAAUUUGAAACAAUUUGCAUUGAAGAAUCUGAUUUUCCAUUUUAUUGGAUCUGGGUUGGCCUCAAAAUCGUCCAUUUGGAUUCAAAACCCCAUCAGCUGGAAUUGUGUGUAAGUGUCAUCAAUGUUUUCAUCGGUUGGUGCCGGUGAUGGUUCGUUUGUAUACACGCAUACUCUUAAAAAUAUCAUAUGCAGUAUUGGCAAGGGUUCUUGUUCUUUUCGCUCCCCUCCAGGAUUCUUGGUUGAUGAUCAUCAAAACCCUAUAAGAUUUAAAAGGAUUAUUUCCGCUUGUAAAUGUAUCGCGGACAUCAAACCCACGAAAUUCACUGUAAGAACCAAAGGUUCUUCCUUCGAUUGUAAUUUAAUAUCUUUUUUUUUACUUUUAUAUUUGAAUAAAAUGCUUAGAAUUGCAUCUUUGAAGGCAUAGAAUUGGGUGCUGGGAGUAGAAAUUUUUUAAAAAUAGUUUGAAAUUGAAACCUUUCGUGGGUUUUAUGAUUUUGCAAUGUUAAGUUUAGCUGUGAUAUCAGAAUAUAUUUCUAUUGAUCUUAUUCAGUUGCAUUUCAUUUAUUUUUGUCAGUUUGUUAUAUACAUUUGUCAUCUAACUAUCGAGUUUUGCUUUUAAGGAGUAUUUGGGGUCAAGAAGUUAAUUUCUUCUUAAAUUAAUAGUUUUGCCAAACUGUUUGUUAGAUUAUCAUUCCGUGAACUUAGAUUUGUCCACAAAUUUCCAUUAAGUUUAUACCUGAUGGUGCCAUUUUUAGUAUUUAUUUUAGCAGAUCACGGACGAUAACUAAGUUUUGCUUCAUAUAGCAUUUUGUUUUAUACUCAUAGUUUCUCAAAUGCAUUUUUCCUUUAUUAUUUAUCCAUUAGUUUGCUUCACACUUGAUCUUGAUGUCAAUGGGCAACCUGUAGAACAGACUCCAUGUUUGGAUGACAAUUGCUAAAGGUUGAAUUUGAUUGAGCUCACAUUACUUCUGUUCAAAUCAUUUUCAGUGAGUUCAUGGAGCAGUGUAUUUGUAUAGUUAAGCUUAUAGUACCUUUGUUCAUAUUCAUUACAGUAAGUUCAUGAGGCACUGUAUCUAUGUAUUCCUUCUCCAGGGUUCACAUGAAACAGAGAAUUUGAGUGUGGGAAAAGAGCUUGACGAUGAAUCACACGUGCUUAUUGAAUGUAGAAAUGUCUACAAGUCAUUUAGAGAAAAGCAUAUCUUAAGAGGUGUGAGCUUCAAGGUGAAAUUUCUUCUUUGUAAAAUUAAACGUGUUAUGCUAUAUGUUUCUGAUUUAUGCACAUCCUGGAUAGGUUGUCCCCCUCUCUUUUCCAUGCCUAUGUGCAUCUAUUGUGUUCCAUCAGUUUCUACAUGUAUCACAUGACGAUAUCAUGGUAUACCCAUUUCUCUAUUGUAUAUAAUUGGCAAGUCAUAUAAUAAUGCACGUUUAGAGUUUAAGAUUUAAAUAUUAUUUUAUUUACCAUUUAUCUUAAGAAUAUUCCUAAUCUCAUGGCGUAUUAAUCUUACUUUAGCCCAUUUGUAGAUUAGGCAUGGGGAGGCUGUUGGAAUAAUUGGGCCUUCUGGGACUGGUAAGUCAACCAUCUUGAAGAUCAUGGCUGGGCUUCUUGCUCCUGACAAGGUAAUUCUCAUUGUCUCUCAUUUUAGAACUAUCUUUUAUCUUGAUAUAUCUUCACCAUUCUGCUUUUCAUAUAGAUUGACUUUCUUCAAGUUGAGAUCUUUGUGAACUAUGUUUAAAUGUUAGGGAGAGGUUUUGAUUUGAGGUAGAAGGCGUCAUGGUUUGAUCAGUGAUGAGGAAAUAUCCGGUCUUCGAAUAGGCUUGGUAUUCUAUAUCAAGUAUAUAAUUCAUAGUUAUCAUAUUAUAAUGAUAUCAAAUGGUUUUUUAAAUCUCUUUUGCAAUGUAACAGGUUUUUCAAAGUGCAGCUCCGUUUGAUUCUUUAACUGUUCGCGAAAAUUUUGGUUUCUUUUUGUAAGACAUGAUUGCGAAUCCUUUAAGAUUAUUAAUGGAUCUUUGUUUCUUUACACAUUUCCAUAAUAUAGUUGUAAAAUUUUCAUAUUUCUAAGUCUCGCAUCUGCUCUUUUUUGCUGUGAAAGAUAUGAGAAUUCAACUAUGCCUGAGGAUCAAAUUGAAGAGCUUGUCACUGAUACUCUAGCUUCUCCUCUCGUCCAAGGCUUCCUAAGUUUUUAGGCUGUCUCCUUCGAUCCUUGUUGCUCUGUCUCAGCAAUGUACUUGCCCUCUUCCUUAGUCUUUUUAUUGAUCUCUCUAUGUACUGAAUUCUCAAUAUUAGGGUAGAUCUUGAACUUCUCUUGCUUAUCUUCCACUUUAAAUGUCAGUUCGUCACUUUCAAAGUCCAUGACAGCGCGACUUUUUGAUAGGAAGGAUUUGCCCAAGAUAAGUAAUACUGCAUCACAUGGCUCUUCUAUAUCUAGGACAAUAAAAUCAACGGGGAACAUGAAUUUGCCCACUUUAAUGAGCACGUUCUCAACCACUCAUCGCGGGUAUUUAUUCAUCCGUCUGCCAAUUGAAGGGAAAUGGAUGUGUCAUUUAGCUUUUGCAAUCCUAAUUUCCUGUGUACAGAGAAAUGCAUUAGGUUUAUUCUUGCUCCUGAGUCACAUAAACGAUUAAAAUGUGAAUCAUUCCCUAUUGAGCAAGAUAUUUUGAGACUCCCUGGAUCUUGUAGCUUAGGAGGUAAUUUGUUCUGUAAGAUGGCACUACACUCCUUAUUUAACUUGAUGGUCUCAAAAUCUGUAAGCCUUCUCUUUUUGGAUAGGAUCUCCUUCAAAAACUUUUCAUAGUUCGAUAUUUGAGAUAUAGCUUCAAUCAGUGAGAUGUUGACAUGAAACUUCUUGAAGAUAUCCAAGAACCUUGCAAAUUGAUCUUCCAACUUUCUCUUUUGUAAUCUCUGCGGAAAUGGGACCGUAGGCACAUAAGAUUUGAUAGGAACGAUUGGCUUGAACUGUAGAUUUUCUAGCUCUUAAGAUGGAACUACUUUGUCUAGUUGUUCAGAUUUAUCCAUUUGCCCCUUAUCUAUAAAAGGUACCUUUUUAUUUUCUAUCAUCCGUCUCUCAACUGUAAUUUCUGGAAGUUGAACCCCAUUGCGUGUAAUGAUUGCCACAACCUCCUCAUUCUCUACAACUUUUAUUAUCAUUACCUACUGCUUAGGAUUUAUCUCAGUGUUGCUUGGCAAUACUCAUUCUUAUCCUUAUGAGAGUGCUUUUGUUAUUUGACCCAUCUGGUUUUCCAAAUUCUUGAUGGCAGUUCCUUGAACUUGCAAGGCUUUAUCUGUUCUUUGUAUGUGUUGUGUAGAGAUCUCCGCCAAUUUAGUAACAAUAUCUUCUAAUGAAGACUUAUUUUCAGCCUAUUGAAAACCUGGCGGUGCAGUCUGCUGUGGCGCAAUCUGAGCUCUCUAAUAGUUGCUCUAUUAAAAAACUUGGAUGAUUUCUCCAGCCUGGGUAGUAGGUGUUAGGAUUCUGAUUGGGUUGCUGUCUUUGCAAAUUUUGAGGAUAAUUUACAUCUUCUAGUGAUUGUGCAAAAGGACUACACACGAUGCAAUCAGCACUUUCAUGAUUUCCUCCACAAUGCUUUCAUUUUUGUCCGACUGCUUGAAUGACAUUCAUCUGAUCCACCUUUUUAGUUAAAACUGCCAGCUGUGCUGAGAUUGUUGUUAAUAGAUCCAAUUCAUGUAUCUUAGCUACUUUCUUUAUACUUGUUCUUUCCGUAUGCCAUAGUGCACUAGUGAAUGCUAAAUCCUUCAUGAUUUGAUAUACUUGAUCUGCUGUUCUCUUUAUGAUGGAACCAUCACAUGUGGAGUCAAACAUUAGCCCUGCUUGUCGGAUUUAGCCCGAUGUAGAAAUAUUGUGCCUGGAGCUAUUUUUGCAAUCCAUGCUGUGAACACUGACGAUGCAGCCCCUUAUACCUUUCCCAAGCUUCAUAAUAGCACUUUGAGUCAAGUUGAUAGAAUGUGGUGAUUUCGUCCAUCAACCUGGCAAUCCUUUUAGGUGGAAAAUAUUUGUUCAGGAACUUCUGACUCAAACUAUCUCAACUGGUGAUGCUGUGUGGAGGAAAAGUAUCCAUCCAUUCCCUAGCUGAAUCUCUCAAAGUGUAAGGAAAAAGCCUUAGCCGAAUUGCUUCGCUUGAAACACCUGAAUAAUCGAUUGUUGCACACAUGUCUAAGAAUCUUGAGAUAUGAGCAUUGGGAUUUUCAAUAGGUUUUCCAAAAAAUUGCAGUGUAUUUUAGAACAUGUUGAUCACAUCUAUCCUCAAGUGAAAAUUUGGUUGACCAAAUGUCGGAUAUACUAUACUGGAUUGGCUCUCCACGACUGGUGGAACCAUAUACUCUCCCAUCAAUCUAUCGUUUUCGUUGGCUGCAACUUUAUUCGGUUGCUCUACACCCGGAUUAGCCUUGAUGGCUAUUUAAUUUGGAUUUUGUUCUGCCAUGAGCUCUGCUUGCUAUUUUUGGUGUGUUUCUAAUUGUUCUCUUCUCCUUGACCUGAACGUUCACUCGAUUUCUGGAUCAAAUUGAGCAAGAUCUCCGAUUCUCGAACUUUGCAUACAAAGUCCUGGAAAGGAAAAAUAGAAAACACUGUAGUAUUUUUCUAAAUUAAUGAACUGACUAAAAAAAUAUAAAAAAUUAAAAUAAAAUUCAGAUUAAAGUUAAAUUAGUUAAAACUUAUUAAAAACUAUAGUCCACGGUAACGCCGCCAAAAACUUGGUCGUUUGAUUUCCUGUAAUUAAACGGGAUCGUGGACAAAUAAUAAAGUGAUGUGUAGGUUCGAUCAACUUAAAGCUAACACUACUCUUAAUCGAAUAGUAAAAUCGAGUUAUAAUUAAAAAUUAUUAAAUCUGUCAACUAAUUUAAAAGCAAUGUAAAGAAAAUUUAUCAGAUUCGCAAAAAAUAUUGCUAAAAUGUAGAAUUUCCCUUAUUAAUCUAUUUUUAGUUCGAUGAUUUAAAUUGAUAAUUUGAAGUCAUGCUUGUUGGUCAAUGUUAUUAUUUUAAUUGAAACAUCUCUCGAUAGUUAUCAAAUCUAUUCCCCUCACACGACCUUCCUAUCUUUUAAUGAAAGAUGCGAACAUGAUAAAUGCAUUAAACAAGAUAGGACAUCUUAUAAAAUCAUGUGAAGUAUAGAGGUAUAUUUCUAUCCUCUAUCGAACUUUGCAAUAUUUAUUACUAUGUGCUAACGAUCUUAUUACCUCUCUCGAUGAUAAUAAAAUUCACAAACAAUUCAAUUAAUGGCCAGAUAAUUAAAAAGCAAUUUAAACCAUAAUAAACAUCCAAAAAUUCAAACAAAUUUAACGUCAAUCUAAUUAUUCAUACCAAAAAUUUAUAACAAGAGUUCAUUAUAUCCUAGGAAUAUAAAAAUCUAGCCAUGCAUAAUGUUGAAAUUAAACAUGGAAGAGUUAAAAGGCAUCACCAAAAUUUUUGACAGAACGUGAUUUAUUCUUCUAUCCACAUGCCUUCCGUCCGCCGUCUAUACGUGUAUUUAUCUUCAACUCUUCACUGCCUCUUUUCUUUGAAUCUUCCGUGUUUUUGCAGUCUAUAUAAUAAAGCAUACAGCACCUUUUUAUUUCCAGCAGCCCCAAAUCUCUAAAUGCGUGAAUGUACUUUGUCUCCCCACCGAAUUCCCUUUUUUCUUCUCUCCAGCCGCCGUUCUUGUGAUUAUAUUUUCUCCAGCCGACUCCUCCAAUGUGUGUAAAAAAAAUAAUAUUGCUGCCCACUUUUCUCUCUUUUUCCACCCACCAAUUCAGCCCAACAAACUCUCCCCAAAGCUGCUUCAAUUUAUGUUAUUAAAUUGGAUAUAAUCCAGCAGCAGCAGCCGCCAUCUUUUUGUGUUCCCAUUCCUAGCAGCUCGGCUUUUUUUCUUUAUUGUGCGGAAUCUAAUAAUCUCGGCUGCCCUCUUUAUUCCUGUAGACGUGGCAUAUAUAUAAUAACCUAACAGCCCACUAAUUGAUUCCAAAAAAGACUCCAAUUCCCCAUCUAAUUGAGGCCCAAUUAUAAUUUCACCCUUUUUCACUCCAAGACCUCAAUUCUUUUAAUAUAAUGAAAUUCAAUCAUUGCCCAAUAAAUUUGUUGCAACCCAUAUAUUCUUUGAUUCAGUGCAAGUCCUUCACUUUCCAAAGUAUGAAAUUUGAUAUGCAAGCUUUGCAUCCAAUGGCCAACUUAGUACCCGUACUUUGGAUUUUGCCAUCUUUCGCCAAUUUUUGUUUAUUCCUUCAAUUCCUUUUCAUUUAUAGAAUUUACUUAUUAAACAUAAAAUACAACAAUUUAUGAUAUGAUUUGUCAAAAGAACUAUCAAAUAUUACUAUUUUAGGACCCAAAUAAGAGUGUAAAAUACACUUAUCAAAAAGCUUGCUUGCUGCCCUGGUAUUGAGAAUACAUUUGGAAUUGCUAUAUUCUUUGCUACCUCUUUUCUCUUUAACUUCAAUAGAUAGUUAAUGCCUAGCUUGAUUGAGUUUAAACAAAACUAAGAUUUUAAUCCUACUUUGGUAUUUCCUUCUUUCUUUAGUUAUGGGGAUUGUAGAAAUGCAUGGUGAACAUUGCUGAUGCAAUCAUAGGUGUAGACAGCAUUUUGGAGAUCUUUAGUCAAUAUAGAAACUACAUAACACUUAAAAUAGAUCUACACACAGCGCCAGAGAGUGGAUGGGCAAUCUCAGGGUAGAUAGGAUAAAGACUACACAAUGACAGCUCUUCUGAUAUGAAAUUGUAUUUUUCUUUAAGCUCGAAUAAGUUUAAUUGAAAGGUGGUCAUUUGCCUCUCUGGUGAUAGUUGCAUUCACAUCUGAGCAGGUGCUCCUGUACGAUGAACCAACUGCUGGACUGGAUCCAAUUGCAUCUACUGUAGUUGAGGAUCUCAUCCGCUUUGUUCAUAUCAAAGGCAAGGACGCACUUGGGAAGCCUGGAAAGAUUGCAUCAUAUGUUAUUGUCACUCAUCAACAUAGUACAACUAGAAGAGCCGUUGAUAGGUACGCAUCAAUUUUUAAAACUUCGUUUAAGUUCAUCCAUUUUACAAUUAAGGUAAUUGUCUUUCGGGAUGCUUGUUGGUAAUCUUUGUUGGAAAAUUACACCGAUAAUUGUGCAUAUUAUAUUCACAAUAAACAUAUCGUUUAUUUGCAUGAAAUCGAAACGUAUUCCAACUUACUGAAAUUGGAUUUAAUAAGGCAAAAUGAGAAUUUACCGAUUUUGAAGAGUAUGAAUGUGGAACCUUCUCUUUCGAUUUUUGAACGAUUGAACUGAAUCUGAAGAAUAUGAAUCUUUCGAUUCUUGAACGAUUGUACCUUGCAAUAUAAAUAUAUAAAUUAGAUUAAUCAUUUUCUAAAAUUAAAUCAUAAUAAAAGGAAAUCAGAAAAUGAGAAUGAAGAUGCAGGUGAUGAAUUUUUGGCCGAGGUAAGUGUUGAACACUUUGUCCUUAAGAUGAAGUUGUCCCACAUCGGUGCUAACGGUUUUUCGGCAAUCAUCUCCCAAGAUACAACCACCACGUCAAGUUAUAGGAGCACUCCAAAUGACUUUGACCAGCAAACUCGAACUGAAUUCCCUCUCUACAAUGAUCAUGACCAUGACUUUGAUGCAAAUGUUUUAUGCAAAACCAAAGUAUAAAUUGGAAUGAAAUAAUAUGGUAUCUAUGACUUUUCUUGAAUGAAUAAAAUUCAAACACAUGGGGUCUAUAUAUAUAAUAGUUGGAAAUGUAUGUCAAAAGACACAACUAUACCAAGAAACACAUCUCUUGGAAUUCAUAAUUAUUGGACAUUAAUCAUACCCAUACCAAGAGUCGUGAUCUUUCAUACGAAAAGUCACAUUUUUUCCUCCAUAUAUUUCUAGAAUAUUCCACAAUAUUUUAUACGAUUUUUCCAAUAAUUUUCAGUAUUUAAGCGGUUUACAUUUGACUUAAUUUCUCAUUCACCAAAUUAAGAAUUCCACUUAGAUAAUUAUGUAAACUUUUAGAUACAAAAUUUCAACACUCUUCUCCUCCAAAAUUAACACCAUAUGUAGGCUGUUAUUUCUCCAUGAAGGAAAGGUCUUUUGGCAAGGGAUGACUGAUGAAUUCUCCUCAUCAACAAAUCCAAUUGUUCGGCAGAUAAAAUUUAUUAUUCUCCUCAUGAAAUCUAACAAUUUUCUUUCCAUUAUUGUUUGAAUCCUCCCACGGGAAUCCGUUGUGCAGUUUCAUUGAAUAUUAUGUGCACAAGAAUUUCAGAAACAUUAAAAUGACAUUGAGUAAGUAACAUGAUAACCCCACUCUUGUUUUAACUUCACCGUUUCUAUGUACACCAGCCCACAAGCUUGCAUUUGCACAAAUUGUAGAUGUUUGAUUGACCGCAUUGCUUUUUAUUUACCACAUAAUUGGAUACUUUCAGUUUGCAUCUGGGAGCUUGGAUGGACCCAUUAGAUAUUAGCAAAUUGAGGCAACACACUGAAUAUGGGUUCUUGAAUACCAAUUUCUUCAUAUUUCAAGUCAUAUUUUAUGACAAUUGAGACGUGAUAGAUUUUCCCCCGUGAAUUGGAGUGAGGAAUAGUUUCAAGUUUGAUGAAAUGUUCAAUGGCCCGGCAAUACAGUCCACCGACAUCCCCCUUUCCCCAGUUUUGUUCCGUCCGAUUAUUCUUCCUUCAGGCUUUGCUUUAUACUCGGGUCAUAUGGGGCCUUGUUGGAUAGCAUUGUCAACGUGAAACGAGUUGAAAUAGAACUAGUUGUGAUGCCUACUUCAUUAGAGGAACUCACUCUCCUUGUGUUUUGUAAGAAUCAAAAUUGAUGCACAGUAGCAUUUUUAGGUAUAGUUGUAACUAACAGAAAUGAUAAACUGAUGUACCAUUGAUUGAUGAGAUAUAAUCCCAC